UCCCUGGUAGUCUAGUGGUUAGGAUUCAAUGCUCUCACCGCUGCGGGCUGGGUUCAAUUCCCAGCCAGUGAA